UCUCGGCAAAUUAUCCUCAUAAGUUUGACGAUAAGAGGAACCACUUAUGACUAAGAUUUUUUUUAGUUUGAGUAAGUAACCUUUUCUAGCGUAAGCUAGGAAGCAUAAGGAAGCAAGCUUAGAUUAGGAUAUUAAUCUAACAUAUGGUGGUGUCACAAAAUCGGAGGCCACGACUGUUUACUAAAAACACAAUUCAGAGCAAUGAUGAAAAUCAUAGUAUUCUGGAUGAAAUUUGCCCGAUGCCAUUAACAUAAAAGAGGUAAUGGGAAACUGUUACUAAUUGAAAGUCUGGUUAAUAGCGGUCUUAACUAUGAGGAUCCUAAGGUAGCAAAAUCAGUUGGCCAUUAAAUGUGGUCUGGUAUCAAUAGUGUAACGAUGGUCUCACUGUCUCUACAACUUGCUCAGUGAAAUUGAAUUAUCCGUGCAGAUGCGGAUUGCCUCCAGGUGGACGGGAAGACCCUAU
rnacentral:rRNA from 1 species